UACGUAGGGUCCGAGCGUUGUCCGGAUUUAUUGGGCGUAAAGAGCUCGUAGGCGGCUCAGUAAGUCAGAUGUGAAAACUCAGGGCUCAACCCGGAGACGCCAUCUGAUACUGCUGUGGCUUGAGUCUGGUAGGGGAUCACGGAAUUCCUGGUGUAGCGGUGAAAUGCGCAGAUAUCAGGAGGAACACCGAUGGCGAAGGCAGUGAUCUGGGCCAGUACUGACGCUGAGGAGCGAAAGCGUGGGUAGCAAACAGG
rnacentral:ncRNA from 2 species